GACGAACGCUGGCGGCGUGCUUAACACAUGCAAGUCGAACGGAAAGGCCCUGCUUUUGUGGGGUGCUCGAGUGGCGAACGGGUGAGUAACACGUGAGUAACCUGCCCUUGACUUUGGGAUAACUUCAGGAAACUGGGGCUAAUACCGGAUAGGAGCUCCUGCUGCAUGGUGGGGGUUGGAAAGUUUCGGCGGUUGGGGAUGGACUCGCGGCUUAUCAGCUUGUUGGUGGGGUAGUGGCUUACCAAGGCUUUGACGGGUAGCCGGCCUGAGAGGUUGACCGGCAACAUUGGGACUGAGAUACGGCCCAGACUCCUACGGGAGGCAGCAGUGGGGAAUAUUGCACAAUGGGCGGAAGCCUGAUGCAGCAACGCCGCGUGCGGGAUGACGGCCUUCGGGUUGUAAACCGCUUUCGCCUGUGACGAAGCGUGAGUGACGGUAAUGGGUAAAGAAGCACCGGCUAACUACGUG
rnacentral:rRNA from 1 species